rnacentral:rRNA from 1 species
GACGAACGCUGGCGGCGUGCCUAAUACAUGCAAGUAGAACGCUGAAGGAGGAGCUUGCUCUUCUGGAUGAGUUGCGAACGGGUGAGUAACGCGUAGGUAACCUGCCUGGUAGCGGGGGAUAACUAUUGGAAACGAUAGCUAAUACCGCAUAAGAGUAGAUGUUGCAUGACAUUUACUUAAAAGGUGCAAUUGCAUCGCUACCAGAUGGACCUGCGUUGUAUUAGCUAGUUGGUGGGGUAACGGCUUACCAAGGCGACGAUACAUAGCCGACCUGAGAGGGUGAUCGGCCACACUGGGACUGAGACACGGCCCAGACUCCUACGGGAGGCAGCAGUAGGGAAUCUUCGGCAAUGGACGGAAGUCUGACCGAGCAACGCCGCGUGAGUGAAGAAGGUUUUCGGAUCGUAAAGCUCUGUUGUAAGAGAAGAACGAGUGUGAGAGUGGAAAGUUCACACUGUGACGGUAUCUUACCAGAAAGGGACGGCUAACUACGUG